rnacentral:rRNA from 1 species
CGGGUGAGUAAUGUCUGGGAAACUGCCCGAUGGAGGGGGAUAACUACUGGAAACGGUAGCUAAUACCGCAUAAUGUCUGCGGACCAAAGCGGGGGACCUCCGGGCCUCGCGCCAUCAGAUGUGCCCAGAUGGGAUUAGCUAGUAGGUGGGGUAACGGCUCACCUAGGCGACGAUCCCUAGCUGGUCUGAGAGGAUGACCAGCCACACUGGAACUGAGACACGGUCCAG